ensembl:snRNA U6 U6 spliceosomal RNA
GUGCUCACUUCAGCAGCACGUGCGCUAAACUUGGAGGGACACAGAGGAGAUUGGUGUGGCCCCUGGCAAGGACCACACGAAAAUUCGUAGAGUGUUACAUAUUUCA